UAGGGAAUCUUCCGCAAUGGGCGAAAGCUUGACGGAGCAACGCCGCGUGAGUGAUGAAGGUCUUCGGAUCGUAAAACUCUUUUAUUAGGGAAGAACAAAUGUGUAAGUAACUAUGCACGUCUUGACGGUACCUAAUCAGAAAGCCACGGCUAACUACGUGCCAGCAGCCGCGGUAAUACGUAGGUGGCAAGCGUUAUCCGGAAUUAUUGGGCGUAAAGCGCGCGUAGGCGGUUUUUUAAGUCUGAUGUGAAAGCCCACGGCUCAACCGUGGAGGGUCAUUGGAAACUGGAAAACUUGAGUGCAGAAAAGGAAAGUGGAAUUCCAUGUGUAGCGGUGAAAUGCGCAGAGAUAUGGAGGAACACCAGUGGCGAAGGCGACUUUCUGGUCUGUAACUGACGCUGAUGUGCGAAAGCGUGGGGAUCAAACAGG
rnacentral:rRNA from 1 species